ACCUCUCUCCACGUUCUCUCUCUCCUCUCUCAUCUCUCCUCUCUCCCCACCUUCUUCCCUCAUAACUGCACAAACACCUCCUUCCCCAUCAUCUUCAUCACCUUAUUCCGGUCAUCCACGACAAGAUUCAUCAAAUUCCGGCAACCCACGGCCAGAUCCAUCGAAUUCCGGUCCCCCACGACCUACACCACCUAACUCCAGCCACCCCGUCGAAUUCCGCCCAAAUCCCGCCACCAACAGCCACCUCCAACGCAGUGUGUUAGACAAAAACCGGAGUCAAUAGCCGGUUUCCGGGUUCAACGGUUUUGUCCGGUCGAACCGGGCCUAGACAUUUGGACCGGGUUUUUAGUUUUUCCGGUUUUAGGAGUCGGAUCGGACCGUUUUCUUCGCGGGUCGCGGUCGGACCGGUUCGACCGACCGAUCCGAUCCGGUCCGGUCUUAUUCGUCCCUUUUCACCCAGACCUUCCUUCUAAAUGGGCUGUUUCCUUGUUGAGCCUCCAUCACCUUUGUUCAAACCCCUCGCAUAAUUACCAAUCUCUCUCUCUCUCUCUCUCCUCCGGUGUAUUCGCGGCGGCGCGGAGACCAUCCACCGGCCAACUCCACAAUCUCCACCAAACAGUUCAGGUGUUUCGAUUUAAAAAAAAAAAAAAAAGAGACAAAAUCGAGAUUUUCGAAUUAUUUUCAAUCUUCCUACUACAAUUACUUGCAAUGGAUCCCAAGCACUCUGGAGAUAUGCUCAAGCAUUUGGAGAAGCAGACAGAGCUUCUAACUGAUGCGUAUAGGUCAAUGUCUCAUGAAUUGCAGAGAACUCCAGG